GAGAUACACCUGUCUCCUGAGUGCUGGGAUGAAGGGAUCCAAAUAUGAGCAUCUAAAAUGUACUGAUAAAGAUGGUAGUGAUGUGUAAGAUGACAGGCAGUUACCAGACAGCAAGGAAGGCCAAAGAGCUUUGAAAAUGGUGAUUGCGUAUGUUGGCCACUUUAAAAAAAAAAGUAUAAAGUACUUCCAGUCUGACCCUUGACCCCGAUCUGUUCUGCCCAGGCCCAUGAUGUGCAGAUUUGAACAAGGCACCUCACACCUCCAAGGCUUACUUUUCUCCUCUCGACAACCAGGCCAAGUAUCAGAGCCUUGGGAAGGUUUCUACAGAGAACUACAUACAUGAAAAUUCUGUGUCUGACCUUCAGUCCUCAGUUCUUCCUUUGCAAAAUUGGGAGAAGUCCUGUCCAGCCCAGUUGGUGGAAGGGUUAUGUAACUACAUUCGUGUGAUCGCCAAUGGCAAGAAUCUCACUGAUUAGUCUCUGCUGAGCACUUUGUCCCGCAGCAGCCACUGCUGGCUUGUUUUGUUCUGUUUUCCUUUGCUUUGAAACAGGGCCUUCUGCUGGGGAACAGGGAACAGGAGUACAGGGAAGAUAAUUAGCAGGCCUGCAAAUUAGCCCAGCAGGUUAAGAGCUUACCAUGUAAGCCUGCCAAUCUGAGUUUGACUGCAGAACCCAUGUAAAGGUGGAAAGAGAGAACUGAUGCCUGAGAGUUCACUGAUACACACACAACUACACUAUGCAAAAACAAAUAAAUAUUUAAUUCUCAUCACUUGGGAGCUGGAGACAAGAGGAUCGGGAGUUCAAGGCUAUCCUAGUCUCUCUAAGUGAAUUCCAGGCCAGCCCUGGCUACAUAGAAAGACCUUAUUUCAAAAUAACAGCUGGAGUUGCGGCACUUGGGAGUCAGAAGCCGAAGCCCGCAGAUCACUGAGUUCAAGGCAAGUCUGCUUUGCAUAUCGAGUUCUAUGAUAGCCAAGGCUACAUAAUGAGACCCUGUCUUAAAAAAAAAAAAAAAAAAAUCAAGCCAAAAGAUAUCAGUUGGGGCUAGGGGUGCGCCCCAGUUAUCCCAGUGUUCCAGAGACUGCGAGUUCUAGGCCAACAUGGUCUACAGGGAUCGGCGCUGAACACACUCUCAAAACAACAACAACAAAAAUCAAGACACCCCAAGAAAAUCAAGAGACACAGCCUCAAAAGUUGUUUGGAGUCGCAGCUUCUUGUGCUCCGCCCCUGCUGUCAAAGACCCAAUCAGGAGCGAGCCUGUCCGUGACGCCAUUUUUCCGCGACGAAGCGGGCGCGGGCCCCGUUUCCUCCUCGGAGCUGUGGCUCUGGGGCUAUGGGCAGCCAGGAGGUGCUAGGCCAGGCGGCCCGGUUGGCCUCCUCGGGUCUCCUGCUGCAGGUCUUGUUUCGAUUAAUCACCUUUGUCUUGAAUGCAUUUAUUCUUCGAUUCCUGUCAAAGGAGAUUGUGGGCAUAGUGAAUGUCAGACUAACGCUGCUUUACUCAACCACAACCUUCCUGGCCAGGGAGGCCUUCCGAAGAGCUUGUCUGAGCGGGGGUGCCCAGCGGGACUGGAGUCAGACCCUCAACCUCCUGUGGCUAACUGUCCCACUGGGUAUAUUUUGGUCCUCCUGCUUGGGCUGGGUCUGGUUGCAGUUGCUUGAAGUGCCUGAUCCAGAUGUGGUCCCCUACUAUGGAACUGGUGUGCUGUUCUUUGGUCUCUCAGCAGUUGUGGAACUUCUGGGAGAGCCUUUCUGGGUCUUGGCACAAGCACAUAUGUUUGUUAAGCUCAAGGUUCUUGCUGAGAGCAUGUCGGUCAUCCUUAGGAGUGUCCUGACGGCUCUUCUUGUCCUGUGGCUGCCUCACUGGGGUCUGUACAUCUUUUCUUUGGCUCAGCUUCUCUACACGACUGUUCUGGUGCUCUGCUAUGCCAUCUAUUUAAUACAAUUACUGCGUUCCCCAGAAUCAGCCAAGCAACUAACUCUUCCUGUCUCCAGAGUAACACAACUGUUGCCCAGUAUUUCAAGAAGCAGAGCAUUUGUCAACUGGAAGGAGGCAGGAUUGGCUUGGAGCUUCUUCAAACAGUCGUUCUUGAAGCAGAUUUUGACAGAAGGCGAGCGGUACGUGAUGACAUUUUUGAAUGUGUUAAACUUUGGCGAUCAGGGUAAGAUGUGUAUAUGACAUAGUGAAUAAUCUUGGCUCCCUUGUGGCCAGGCUAAUUUUCCAGCCAGUAGAGGAGAGUUUUUAUUUAUUCUUUGCUAAAGUGCUAGAGAGAGAGAAGGACGCCUCACUUCAGAAGCAGGACGAUGUUGCUGUGGCUGCUGCGGUUUUGGAGUCCCUCCUCAAGCUGGCCUUGCUGACUGGACUGACCAUGACUGUUUUUGGCUUUGCCUAUUCCCAACUGGCUUUGGACAUCUAUGGAGGAGCCAUGCUUAGUUCGGGAUCUGGUACAAUUUCACCAUGCUGGCACUGUCAUCCUCGUUUUUAGUCUUAUCCUACCUGCUGACCAGUUGGUGUGGCAGUGUGGGCUUCAUCAUGGCCAACUGCUUUAACAUGGGCAUCCGGAUCACACAGAGUCUUUCCUUCAUCCAUCACUACUUCCGAGAGAGCCCUCACAGACCCCUGGCUGGCCUGCGCCUGUCACCAGUUCUUCUUGGGGUGUUCAUUCUCAGUGCUGGGAUUACUAGUGUCUCAGAGGCAUUCCUCUGCUGUGAGAGGGGCUGGCCAGCUAGGCUGGCACACAUCGCUGUGGGGACCAUCUGCUUAGGAGUGACUCUUGGGACAGCGUUCCUCACAGAGACCAAGCUGAUCCACUUUCUCAGGACUCAGUUGGGUAGAUCCAGACUCAGUGACAAAAUGACAUGACUUUGGUGACGCUUUGGCACUUUUGGUAUCUGGACCCAGCAUAGAACGGUUCUUGGACAUGCGUUGUUGUGGGAAAGCCCUGAUGUGGAGUCAGGAUCAGCCUGGAGGAGAGACUACAGAGGACAGAUCUCCAGUCCAAGGCUUCCCACCAAAGCAGGAGCGCCUUUUCAGUGAAGACCAAAAACCCUUUUUGUUAAUGAACUAGUUCCCUUUGAGUGUGAUUGACCUUUGAAGUUACAUCUUUUAACAAACUCUCUUAAAUGUUAAUAUUUAACCAUUGUUUGGCCAAGAAAAAGCAAUGCAGCCAUUGACCUGCCGCAAGAAUGGUUAGUUUCUUCUAUAAAAGAAGUAAGGAGCCCCUGAAGUUAUACACCAAACAAGAACAAAUCAUGGUGUAAAAAUUGUGGCUUUCAGCCGGGUAGUGGUGGCACACACCUUUAAUCCCAGCACUUAAGAGCCAGAGGCAGAGGCAGACGAAUAUCCAAGUUCCAGGACAGCCAGAGCUGUCUCAAAAAAACAAAUAUAAAAAAAUAAAAAUGUAGCUGGGCGUGGUGGCGCUUGCCUUUAAUCCCAGCACUCGGGAGGCAGAGGUAGGCGGAUUUCUGAGUUCGAGGCCAGCCUGGUCUACAAAGUAAGUUCCAGGACAGCCAGGGCUAUACAGAGGAACCCUGUCUCGAAAAACCAAAAAAUAAAAAUAAUUUUAAAAAA